rnacentral:rRNA from 1 species
GACGAACGCUGGCGGCGUGCUUAACACAUGCAAGUCGAACGAAGAGCGACGGAAGCUUGCUUCUAUCACUCUUAGUGGCGCACGGGUGAGUAACGCGUAAUCAACCUGCCCUUCAGAGGGGGACAACAGUUGGAAACGACUGCUAAUACCGCAUACGAUCUAACCUCGGCAUCGAGGAUAGAUGAAAGGUGGCCUCUACAUGUAAGCUAUCACUGAAGGAGGGGAUUGCGUCUGAUUAGCUAGUUGGAGGGGUAACGGCCCACCAAGGCGAUGAUCAGUAGCCGGUCUGAGAGGAUGAACGGCCACAUUGGGACUGAGACACGGCCCAGACCCCUACGGGAGGCAGCAGUGGGGAAUCUUCCGCAAUGGACGAAAGUCUGACGGAGCAACGCCGCGUGAGUGAUGACGGCCUUCGGGUUGUAAAGCUCUGUUAAUCGGGACGAAAGGCCUUCUUGCGAAUAGUGAGAAGGAUUGACGGUACCGGAAUAGAAAGCCACGGCUAACUACGUG